UGAGCAACAUGACCUUCGGCGGGGGAUAGCCGGCCCAACGGCCGGGUAAUACCGCGUACGACCACAUGGGGACAUCCCUGAGCGGUGAAAGCAGCAAUGCGCCGAUGGAGUGCCUCGCGGCCUAUCAGCUAGUUGGUGAGGUAAUGGCUCACCAAGGCGACGACGGGUAGCCGGCCUGGAGGAGGGCCGACCCGGCCACACGUGGGACUGACGACCACCGGGCCCAGACCUCCGUAGG
rnacentral:rRNA from 1 species